UACAGCGGGUGCCCGCGUUAAUCGGAUUUACUGAGCGUAAAGGGCGCGUAGGUGGUUGUGCAAGUGAGAUGUGAAAGCCCCGGGCUUAACCUGGGAACUGCAUCUUAUACUGCAUAGCUUGAGUGCAAUAGAGGGUAGUGGAAUUUCCGGUGUAGCGGUGAAAUGCGUAGAUAUCGGAAGGAACACCAGUGGCGAAGGCGGCUACCUGGAUUGACACUGACACUGAGGCGCGAGAGCGUGGGGAGCAAACAGG
rnacentral:rRNA from 1 species